GCGCCGUGGCUCGUUCUUUUGCAGCGGAUGUUGGUUGGUAGCUUUCUCAGUUUUGCAAGUUUAUACAAAGAUAUGCUGCUGCAUUAUGACCACUCGGAGAUGAUGUGAAGACCGUUAGUUGAAUCACAAUAAUGUCUGGGAUAAAUUAGACGGAAGAAGUUGGCAAAUGUAUGUUUCACCGAAGUCAUGUGCACGUGGAGCUCAUCAUGAAACAGGAACAUGAUUCACCCUGUUGCUGUAGUGUUACUGACUCCCCCUACUGAACACGUGGUUUACACUAUGGCUUCAUUUAAGUUUAGUCAGGUAUAGUAGAGCAGCUACACAUUUGCACAAAACAGUUUGAGCCUUGAACAAGGUCCUUAAUGCCUAACUGUACUUGUGUAUGUAUUUUUCUCUGGAUAUGCUAAAAGGAGAUGUGGUAUGUAUUAUGCAUGUUGGUCAAUAAAGAUUUCAUUUUGAAAUA